CCAAUAGCGUAUAUUAAAGUUGUUGCAGUUAAAAAGCUCGUAGUUGAAUUUCGGGGUCAGUAGGUUGGUCAUGCCACUGGUAUGUACUGGUCUCACUGAUUCCUCCUUCCUGAUGAACCGUAAUGCCAUUAAUUUGGUGUUGCGGGGAAACUGGACUGUUACUUUGAAAAAAUUAGAGUGUUUAAAGCAGGCUGACGCUUGAAUACAUUAGCAUGGAAUAAUGAAAUAGGACGUUCGAUCCUAUUUUGUUGGUUUCUAGGAUUGACGUAAUGAUUAAUAGGGAUAGUUGGGGGCAUUAGUAUUCAAUUGUCAGAGGUGAAAUUCUUGGAUUUAUUGAAGACUAACUACUGCGAAAGCAUUUGCCAAGGAUGUUUUCAUUAAUCAAGAACGAAAGUUAGGGGAUCGAAGACGAUCAGAUACCGUCGUAGUCUUAACCAUAAACUAUGCCGACUAGGGAUCGGAUGAUGUUAAUUUUAUAAUGACUCAUUCGGCGCCUUACG
rnacentral:rRNA from 1 species